GAUGAACGCUGGCGGCGUGCUUAACACAUGCAAGUCGAACGAAGCAUUUAAGCGGAAGUUUUCGGAUGGAAGCUUAAAUGACUGAGUGGCGGACGGGUGAGUAACGCGUGGGUAACCUGCCUUAUACAGGGGGAUAACAGUUAGAAAUGACUGCUAAUACCGCAUAAGCGCACAGUAUCGCAUGAUACGGUGUGAAAAACUGAGGUGGUAUAAGAUGGACCCGCGUCUGAUUAGCUAGUUGGUGAGGUAACGGCUCACCAAGGCGACGAUCAGUAGCCGACCUGAGAGGGUGACCGGCCACAUUGGGACUGAGACACGGCCCAGACUCCUACGGGAGGCAGCAGUGGGGAAUAUUGCACAAUGGGCGAAAGCCUGAUGCAGCGACGCCGCGUGAGCGAAGAAGUAUUCGGUAUGUAAAGCUCUAUCAGCAGGGAAGAUAAUGACGGUACCUGACUAAGAAGCCCGGCUAACUACGUGCC
rnacentral:rRNA from 1 species